UACGGAGGAUGCAAGCGUUAUCCGGAAUUAUUGGGCGUAAAGCGUCCGCAGGUGGCACUUCAAGUCUGUCGUCAAAGACCGGGGCUUAACCCUGGAAAGGCGAUGGAAACUGAAAGGCUAGAGAGAGGUAGGGGUAGAGGGAAUUCCCAGUGUAGCGGUGAAAUGCGUAGAGAUUGGGAAGAACAUCGGUGGCGAAAGCGCUCUACUGGACCUCAUCUGACACUCAGGGACGAAAGCUGGGGGAGCGAAUGGG
rnacentral:rRNA from 1 species